GGGGGGGUUAGUGUUGUAUAACUGCUUAUACGCUUUGUUUCUCUGAACAGAUCCUCUUUGUUUGUCUUCCAAAAUUAUUCUGAGUCAAGCCUUCACUCAUUACAAAAUGGAUUGUCUCAGACUUUCACCAGGGAUGUGACACAAGCAGGGCUCACACUCCACGCCAAGAGAAUUGUGUCAAGGUCAAAGUAAUAUGUCAACAGUGUCAGCAUUACACGAGGCUGUUUUAUUUAUUUUUUUUUUUAACAAGCGAAAACGCUUUUAUUUGCCACUUAAAUUAGGGUUAUGCAAAAAGAAAUAACAGCAGAGACUUUUCUGCUUAUAAAGCCUCUAAACGCGCAUGCGCCGAGUGCGCACACGAUGUUGCCAGAUUAUUGUAUAACAAGUGUAUUUAUAUGUAGAUAUUUUUAAGGUAUAUUUCAGCAACAAUAAAGUUAUUGGAAUGGCCAUCAAAAAACAAACAAACAAAAAAACGUUCCAUAAUUUGAGGAAAUAAUAUAAUUAUAACGUAUUCUGGUGUUGCCAGUUUGUUGUACAACAACCGUGUUGAAAAAGAUAAAACCCUCAAAUUAAUGGAAUCUCUGUCAAAUAGUAAAUUUAUAACAUUUCGAAAUAAGUUCGCGAAACAAACACUCAGGUUUCUUCACCUCUAAUUAAAAUGACUGACUUUAAAUUGUUUACUCUUGCUGGGCUGAGAGAUAGGAUAAUGUACGCGGUGAGCCUUGUUUCCUUGAAAAUGGAAAAUCUGGCAACCCGAGACGCAGAUGGUAUUCCACAUGUGUUUUGAGCGCUUAUCCUUGAGGGUCACACGGAACCUGGAACCUAUCCUAGGGAGCAUCGGGCACAAGGCGGGGUACAUCCUGGACAGGGUGCCAAUCCUAUCCAUACACUACGGACAAUUUAGACAUGCCAAUCAGCCUACCAUGCAUGUCUUUGGACUGGGGGAGGAAACCGGAGUACCCGGAGGAAACCCCUGCAGCACGGGGAGAACAUGCAAACUCCACACACACAGGGCAGAGGUCGGGAAUCGAACCCCCAACCCUGGAGGUGAGGCGAAUGUGCUAACCACUAAGCUACCGUG
ensembl:lncRNA